rnacentral:miRNA from 1 species
ACCCUGUAGAACCGAAUUUGGG